rnacentral:lncRNA from 1 species
CUUGAUUAAAACCUCAGGCGUACUUCAAAAGUCUAUAGUCCCUUUGAAACAAAUAACACAUUUGAUGCUAUUAUACUCACAAUCAAGUAUCAUAUCCAAAAAUAUAACAUCCCUUUUUUUUUUCUUUUUUUUUUAUGGGAACAUCCCCUCUACUCCAAUGCAAAAGAAUGUGUGCAAAACAUGCCGUGACUCCAUAACUUGUGAUUUCCAUUCACAAUCUGGUUGUGCAAAUUUGAUCUUCUCUACUAACUUGCAAAUUCCACUGCAAGUCCAAUCGAAAGAAGCAAUACAUACAUUGCCGGCUUGUGCUUUCCAUUCACAAUUUGGUUUUAUUGAGAAAAAGAUAAAUUUUGGCCAAACAGAAAUUGCACAAAUUAUCAACUAAUAGCCCCCAAAACUGUGGCAAUGCCAGGCUGCUCUGAUAAGAUUUCCAAAUUCCAAAGACAAAAAAUUUUCAAGCCUGUGCAUUAACUAGUUAUACCAAACCUGGAACGACCAAAAGGACCUUAUCCAAAAUUCUUCCAUAAAAAAAUAAUUUUCAAGAUUCUAUUGCACAAUCCUCAUUGUCAAAACUACUAA